GAUGAACGCUAGCGGCAGGCUUAAUACAUGCAGGUCGAGGGGCAGCAUGAGUGUAGCAAUACAUUUGAUGGCGACCGGCAAACGGGUGCGGAACACGUACACAACCUUCCUAUAAGUGGGGAAUAGCCCAGAGAAAUUUGGAUUAAUACCCCGUAACAUAAUGAUGUGGCAUCACAUUAUUAUUAUAGCUACGGCGCUUAUUGAUGGGUGUGCGGCUGAUUAGAUAGUUGGCGGGGUAACGGCCCACCAAGUCUACGAUCAGUAGCUGAUGUGAGAGCAGGAUCAACCACACGGGCACUGAGACACGGGCCCGACUCCUACGGGAGGCAGCAGUAAGGAAUAUUGGUCAAUGGACGCAAGUCUGAACCAGCUAUGCCGCGUGAAGGAUUAAGGUCCUCUGGAUUGUAAACUUCUUUUAUCUGGGACGAAAAAAGGCUAUUCUUAGUCACUUGACGGUACCAGAUGAAUAAGCACCGGCUAACUCCGUGCCAGCAGCCGCAGUAA
rnacentral:rRNA from 1 species